UACGUAGGGGGCGAGCGUUGUCCGGAAUCAUUGGGCGUAAAGGGCGUGUAGGCGGUUAUGCAAGUCAGGUGUGAAAACCUCGGGCUCAACUUGAGGACUGCACCUGAAACUGCAUAACUUGAGGGCAGGAGAGGAAAGUGGAAUUCCAAGUGUAGCGGUGAAAUGCGUAGAUAUUUGGAAGAACACCGGUGGCGAAGGCGGCUUUCUGGACUGUACCUGACGCUGAGGCGCGAAAGCCAGGGGAGCGAACGGG
rnacentral:rRNA from 1 species